rnacentral:rRNA from 1 species
GACAGAGGGGGCAAGCGUUGCUCGGAAUUACUGGGCGUAAAGGGCGCGUAGGCGGGAUGGCAAGUCGGUCGUGAAAUCCUUCGGCUCAACCGAAGAACGUCGAUCGAUACUGCUGUUCUUGAGGGUUGCAGAGGAGACUGGAAUUCCCGGUGUAGCGGUGAAAUGUGUAGAGAUCGGGGAGGAACACCGGUGGCGAAGGCGGGUCUCUGG